rnacentral:misc_RNA from 1 species
UCUUCUCCUCAUCAUAUCUCCCCGUACUUCCAACUCACAGAUACAAGAAACAAUGGCCACUUUACCAUUCCCUGCAGCUCAAGCAAAGUCCAAAUUCCCUUCAAGAUUUACAUAUUUCAACUACAGAGCCAGCCAUUCCAAGCUUUUCUUCAUACUUGAAUCAUUCAAGAAGAAGAAAUUUAUCUAUCAAGAACAUUGCCAGCGAUCAAAGGCAGGAAGUGCAAGACCCUGUCACUCAAGGAGAUUCCUUGGAUACAUUUGCUCCAGAUUCAGGGGCUAUAGCGUCAAGCAUCAAGUACCAUGCAGAAUUCACACCAUCUUUCUCUCCAGAACACUUUGAGCUUCCCAAGGCAUAUAUGGCUACUGCAGAGAGUGUUCGCGAUUUGCUUAUCAUAAAUUGGAAUGCUACAUUUGAGUACUAUGAGAAGAUGAAUGUAAAGCAGGCUAAUUAUCUGUCUAUGGAGUUUCUACAGGGUAGAGCCCUUCUGUAUGCGAUUGGUAACUUGGAACUCACAGGGGCUUAUGCGGAGGAUUUGAGAAAGCUGGGUCACAAUUUAGAAGAUGUAGCUAUACAGGUCAGAUUGUUUUAUUAUUCUCUUAUUCAAUUACUAUCGCUGAUCACAUUCCAUUGAAUUUGUAGACGUUAUUUUGUACUAGUUUAAAAUCUGUCAGAUAAAAAUUGGCAAGAGCCUGAUGCUGCACUUGGUAAUGGAGGCCUAGGGCGGCUUGCUUCCUGCUUUCUUGAUUCCGUAGCAACGCUAAAUUACCCUGCAUGGGGAUAUGGACUUAGGUACAAAUGCGGUUUGUUCAAACAACUUAUUACAAAAGAUGGUCAGGAGGAAGUUGCAGAAAGUUGGCUUGAGGUACAACAUAAUUGUGUUUCAUUCCUGUUGAAUUAAUCCUCCUUACAUUCUAUUACUUCAAUAGAAGCUUUGCCAGCUUGUAAUGAAUCUUCAAGUGCCCUUAUCAGGUUGAUUGAUUAAGCAUUUCCUAGCAGAUGGGUAAUCCCUGGGAAAUUG